AUAAGUUUUUAUCAGAGCUGUAUAUUUAUUUGUCAUUUCUAAAACGUACUUAAUAUUUUUAUAUACAUUUUACAUGCAUGUAAUCAAUAAUGUUGAAUUGUUAUUUUUGUGUACUACUAAUUUUGCAUUGAUUGAAUGUAAUAUCAUUCCAUUGAGUUUGUUUUGAUAGUAGAACUUUAACAUAGAAUAUUACCUAACAUGUACUGCAUAUGAAUGCAUUUAUCAAAAGCAAUAAAUUCAUGACCUAUGCAUGAUUUGUGUGUUCUUUGCAUCUGAAAGCUUGAAAUAUUAAGACCUGGUCAAAAAUUGUAAUAAGGCAAUUUUGACAUAUCAAAGAAGUUAUAGCUUUAUUAGAGGAAAAAACUAGCCGCUAAAGAAAUGAUAAUCAACAUUUUUUGUAAAAUAUAAAUAAAUCUAAGAAAU
rnacentral:misc_RNA from 1 species